GAAGACUCAUGCUUUCCAUAGGGCUGGUGAUAAACCCUAGAGACUUAGGAUUCUGUUAUCUCAUUGACUUUUUUUUCAAGGACUAAUGGCCUAAGGAAAUCUCUUUGUACCCCUGAUCACUGAGAAAGAAGCAGAAGAUUCUGGAGGCAGCAUAUUCAGCAGUUGACAAUUCUGCUACAACCCAUUUAUCAGUGGCAUCGAGAGGUCCUUGGGUUGGACAGUUCUCGCCCAGUCAACCCACCAGGAAUCUGUGACCUACCAGAAUCUCGGAGAUGCUGCGUCUGGAGGGAGUAAGCCAAAUAGGAGAAUGUACACCAUAGAACCCUGUGGUCACAUUUGUGCUCCCCACAUCACGUUCAUGAGCUACUUGGCCCACAUAUGUCUAAGCUCGGUUUACCUUGGGAUUUCUCACGUCUCAGUGAAGUGAUUCCACUCUACACAUUUUGAGGGAUUGAAAAUUUUACUAGUUCAAACUGAGUUGGUAAGUGGAAUCAAUCCAUAACUGAACUUCAACUUUCUGAAUUCCAUUAUAGAAAAAAGAGGGAUGGAGGGAGGAAAAGAGAGAGAGAGGCUUUUAUUUAUCCAUUAAUUUAUUAAGUUUUGGCUUUUGAGCUUCUG
rnacentral:lncRNA from 1 species